rnacentral:rRNA from 1 species
UACGGAGGGUGCAAGCGUUGUUCGGAAUCACUGGGCGUAAAGCGCACGUAGGCGGACUCUUAAGUCGGGGGUGAAAUCCUGGAGCUCAACUCCAGAACUGCCUUCGAUACUGAGAGUCUCGAGUCCGGGAGAGGUGAGUGGAACUGCGAGUGUAGAGGUGAAAUUCGUAGAUAUUCGCAAGAACACCAGUGGCGAAGGCGGCUCACUGGCCCAUUACUGACGCUGAGGCACGAAAGCGUGGGGAGCAAACAGG